UCCCUCUUAGCUCAGUGGUAGAGCGCGUCACUAGUAUUACAGACUGUUGUCUUGAUUUAUGCAUGACGAGGUCAGUCGUUCAAGUCGGCUAGAGGGAA